rnacentral:piRNA from 1 species
UACAAUAACCCAACACUCACAAUGAUCC